rnacentral:ncRNA from 1 species
UGUUUGGAGAGUUUGAUCCUGGCUCAGGACGAACGCUGGCGGCGUGCUUAACACAUGCAAGUCGAACGGGCUGGCUCUGGUUUUUUGCUGGGGUUGGUUAGUGGCGAACGGGUGAGUAACACGUGAGUAACCUGCCCUCUUCUCCUGGAUAACUGCUUGAAAGGGCGGCUAAUACGGGGUGGUCUGGCCUGCCUGCAUGGGUGGGUUGGUAUAGGUUCAACUUUGGUUGUUCUGGUGGGGGAUGGGCUCGCGGCUUAUCAGCUUGUUGGUGGGGUGAUGGCUUACCAAGGCUUUGACGGGUAGCCGGCCUGAGAGGGUGGACGGUCACACUGGGACUGAGAUACGGCCCAGAC